GAUGAACGCUGGCGGCGUGCCUAAUACAUGCAAGUCGAGCGAACAGACGAGGAGCUUGCUCCUCUGACGUUAGCGGCGGACGGGUGAGUAACACGUGGAUAACCUACCUAUCAGACUGGGAUAACUUCGGGAAACCGGAGCUAAUACCGGAUAAUAUAUUUAACCGCAUGGUUCAAUAGUGAAAGACGGUUUUGCUGUCACUUAUAGAUGGAUCCGCGCCGCAUUAGCUAGUUGGUAAGGUAACGGCUUACCACGGCAACGAUGCGUAGCCGACCUGAGAGGGUGAUCGGCCACACUGGAACUGAGACACGGUCCAGACUCCUACGGGAGGCAGCAGUAGGGAAUCUUCCGCAAUGGGCGAGAGCCUGACGGAGCAACGCCGCGUGAGUGAUGAAGGUCUUCUGAUCGUAAAACUCUGUUAUUAGGGAAGAACAAAUGUGUAAGUAACUAUGCACGUCUUGACGGUACCUAAUCAGAAAGCCACGGCUAACUACGUG
rnacentral:rRNA from 1 species